CAUGCAAGUCGAGCGGACCGACGGGAGCUUGCUCCCUUAGGUCAGCGGCGGACGGGUGAGUAACACGUGGGUAACCUGCCUGUAAGACUGGGAUAACUCCGGGAAACCGGGGCUAAUACCGGAUGCUUGAUUGAACCGCAUGGUUCAAUCAUAAAAGGUGGCUUUUAGCUACCACUUNCAGAUGGACCCGCGGCGCAUUAGCUAGUUGGUGAGGUAACGGCUCACCAAGGCGACGAUGCGUAGCCGACCUGAGAGGGUGAUCGGCCACACUGGGACUGAGACACGGCCCAGACUCCUACGGGAGGCAGCAGUAGGGAAUCUUCCGCAAUGGACGAAAGUCUGACGGAGCAACGCCGCGUGAGUGAUGAAGGUUUUCGGAUCGUAAAACUCUGUUGUUAGGGAAGAACAAGUACCGUUCGAAUAGGGCGGUACCUUGACGGUACCUAACCAGAAAGCCACGGCUAACUACGUGCCAGCAGCCGCGGUAAUACGUAGGUGGCAAGCGUUGUCCGGAAUUAUUGGGCGUAAAGCGCGCGCAGGCGGUUUCUUAAGUCUGAUGUGAAAGCCCCCGGCUCAACCGGGGAGGGUCAUUGGAAACUGGGGAACUUGAGUGCAGAAGAGGAGAGUGGAAUUCCACGUGUAGCGGUGAAAUGCGUAGAGAUGUGGAGGAACACCAGUGGCGAAGGCGACUCUCUGGUCUGUAACUGACGCUGAGGCGCGAAAGCGUGGGGAGCGAACAGGAUUAGAUACCCUGGUAGUCCACGCCGUAAACGAUGAGUGCUAAGUGUUAGAGGGUUUCCGCCCUUUAGUGCUGCAGCAAACGCAUUAAGCACUCCGCCUGGGGGAGUACGGUCGCAAGACUGAAACUCAAAGGAAUUGACGGGGGCCCGCACAAGCGGUGGAACAUGUGGUUUAAUUCGAAGCAACGCGAAGAACCUUACCAGGUCUUGACAUCCUCUGACAACCCUAGAGAUAGGGCUUCCCCUUCGGGGGCAAAAUGACAGGUGGUGCAUGGUUGUCGUCAGCUCGUGUCGUGAGAUGUUGGGUUAAGUCCCGCAACGAGCGCAACCCUUGAUCUUAGUUGCCAGCAUUCAGUUGGGCACUCUAAGGUGACUGCCGGUGACAAACCGGAGGAAGGUGGGGAUGACGUCAAAUCAUCAUGCCCCUUAUGACCUGGGCUACACACGUGCUACAAUGGGCAGAACAAAGGGCAGCGAAGCCGCGAGGCUAAGCCAAUCCCACAAAUCUGUUCUCAGUUCGGAUCGCAGUCUGCAACUCGACUGCGUGAAGCUGGAAUCGCUAGUAAUCGCGGAUCAGCAUGCCGCGGUGAAUACGUUCCCGGGCCUUGUACACACCGCCCGUCACACCACGAGAGUUUGUAACACCCGAAGUCGGUGAGGUAACCUUUUGAGCCAGCCGCC
rnacentral:rRNA from 1 species